rnacentral:rRNA from 1 species
GACGAACGCUGGCGGCGUGCCUAAUACAUGCAAGUAGAACGCUGAAGGAGGAGCUUGCUUCUCUGGAUGAGUUGCGAACGGGUGAGUAACGCGUAGGUAACCUGCCUGGUAGCGGGGGAUAACUAUUGGAAACGAUAGCUAAUACCGCAUAAGAGUAGAUGUUGCAUGACAUUUGCUUAAAAGGUGCAAUUGCAUCACUACCAGAUGGACCUGCGUUGUAUUAGCUAGUUGGUGGGGUAACGGCUCACCAAGGCGACGAUACAUAGCCGACCUGAGAGGGUGAUAGGCCACACUGGGACUGAGACACGGCCCAGACUCCUACGGGAGGCAGCAGUAGGGAAUCUUCGGCAAUGGACGGAAGUCUGACCGAGCAACGCCGCGUGAGUGAAGAAGGUUUUCGGAUCGUAAAGCUCUGUUGUAAGAGAAGAACGAGUGUGAGAGUGGAAAGUUCACACUGUGACGGUAGCUUACCAGAAAGGGACGGCUAACUACGUG